ACUGAAUAGAUACCCCGGUAGUCCACGCCGUAAACGAUGGGUGCUAGCCGUGGGAAGGUUACCUUUCCGUGGCGCAGCUAAACGCGUUAAAGCACCCCGCCUGGGGAGUACGGUCGCAAGAUUAAAACUCAAAGAAAUUGACGGGACCCGCACAAGCGGUGGAACAUGUGGUUUAAUUCGAGGCAACGCGAAGAACCUUACCAGGGUUUGACAUGCCCUUACGGAGACCAGAAACGGACUCUUUCAGUUCGGCUGGAGGGAGCACAGGUGCUGCAUGGCUGUCGUCAGCUCGUGUCGUGAGAUGUUGGGUUAAGUCCCGCAACGAGCGCAACCCUCGUCCUCUGUUGCUAACAGGUUAAGCUGAGAACUCUGAGGAAACUGCCGGUGAUAAGCCGGAGGAAGGUGGGGAUGACGUCAAGUCCUCAUGGCCCUUACACCCUGGGCUACACACGUGUUACAAUGGCAGUGACAAUGCGCAGCUAGCCCGCGAGGGUACGCGAAUCGCAAAAAGCUGCCUCAGUUCGGAUUGUACUCUGC
rnacentral:rRNA from 1 species